rnacentral:rRNA from 1 species
GAUGGCAACACCUGUCUCCUCUGGGAGGACCACUGGAUCGACGGAGUCUCCAUCGCCGAGCUGGCCCCGUUGGUUCAGGCUCUCGUUCCCCGUUGGCAUCACAGGGUGCGCACUGUGGCCGUGGGCUUGGCCUCCCGCGCCUGAAUCCAAGAUGUGCAGGGCCAUCUGGUCCCCGCGGCGCUGGUGCAGUACGUCCUACUCUGGGCACGUCUGCAUUAGGUCACGCUUUCUGAUGCACCAACCGCUCUCACCUGGCGCUGGACACCGAACGACGUGUACUCCGCCAAAUCGUGCUACAAAGCCCUAUUUGUUGGCUCCACGAUCGAGCCCUCCUGGCGGCUCACAUGGAAAUCUUGGGCACCCAUCCGCAUCAAAAUCUUCCUCUGGCUUGCCUUCCAAGGACGAUGCUGGACCGCCGACCGGCUCGCUCGCCGUGGCCUUGCGCAUGCUCCGCUGUGCCUCCUUUGCGAUCAGGAACCCGAGACUAUGGCGCACUUCCUCGCUGACUGCGUCUUCUCCAGGCAAACAUGGCACGAGGUCCUUUCUUGGUCCCGAAUCACCGACAUGCCACUCCCAAGCCCCGGCAUGAGCUUUCGCGACUGGUUCUCCCAGUCUGUUCGGGACGCUCCUACUGCUUUGCGCUGUGGUUUAGCCUCGCUUAUCAUUCUUACCGCCUGGCGCAUCUGGAAGGCGCAGAGCGCAUGCAUCUUCAAUGGAGCAACCCCCUUUAAUCCCACUUAUCGUCAAUGA